GACGAACGCUGGCGGCGUGCUUAACACAUGCAAGUCGAACGGAAAGGCCCUGCUUUUGUGGGGUGCUCGAGUGGCGAACGGGUGAGUAACACGUGAGUAACCUGCCCUUGACUUUGGGAUAACUUCAGGAAACUGGGGCUAAUACCGGAUCGGAGCUCCUGCUGCAUGGUGGGGGUUGGAACGUUUCGGCGGUUGGGGAUGGACUCGCGGCUUAUCAGCUUGUUGGUGGGGUAGUGGCUUACCAAGGCUUUGACGGGUAGCCGGCCUGGGAGGGUGACCGGCGACAUUGGGACUGAGAUACGGCCCAGACGCCUACGGUAGACAGCAGGGGGGAAUAUUGCACAAUGAGCGGAAGCCUGAUGCAGCAACGCCGCGUUCGGAAUGACGGCCUGCUGGGUAUAAACCGCUUUCGCCUGUGACGAAGCGUUAGUGACGGUAAUGGGUAAAGAAGCACCGGCUAACUACGUG
rnacentral:rRNA from 1 species